rnacentral:ncRNA from 1 species
UUAAAAGCAAAGCGUGGAAGAAGUAGCAGAUUACAAAAUUUAACAGAGAGUCGUUUUUGGUGAGAAGCGACACAAAGAUUUUAAAGGAUCUGCGAAAUGGACCCACAAGCUUCAAACUGAAAGGACUAAAAUAGCCCGAGUAAGUUUUGACGGACUUUCCCCCGUAACAAGGAAAAGUGUAUCGGUAUAUAUUUAAUUUAUAUUUCCCGUACUCUUAAAAAGUAGGAUUUUUCAAAAUAAAUAAAAAUCCUAUUAGAGUGGCACCACGGAAUUAACCUUUCGUCUCUUGG